rnacentral:rRNA from 1 species
UACGAAAGGUCCAAGCGUUACUCGGAAUUACUGGGCGUAAAGCGCGCGUAGGCGGCCUUGUAUGUCGAUUGUGAAAGCCCCGGGCUCAACCUGGGAACAGCAGUCGAAACUGCAAGGCUUGAAUGUUGGAGAGGGUGGGGGAAUACCUAGUGGAGAAGUGAAAUUCGUAGAGAUUAGGUGGAACGCCAGAGGCGAAGGCGCCUGCCUGGCCAAACAUUGACGCUGAGGCGCGAAAGCUUGGGUAGCAAACUGG